CAGUCUUAAAGACUUUAUUUUCUGUUAUGUAAAAAUAACUUUAAUUUUGUAGGAGUAGGAACAGUUAUAGUCCUGGGAAAACUGCCCAGCUCCAUUCUAUUGACAGUUCUGCUUUUAACAUCUGGUUUUUACUACAAAUUACAAAAGAUUCUAAUCUAUUCUAUUCCUAUUUCUUAAUUGUUUUGUCCAACAUUAGACUUUGAUAAUCCACCUUGUUCAACUGUUUGUUCUUCGAACUAUGUUUAGUUUGAAAAUAAUAAAAAUACUCAUUUACAUACAGUAUAUUACAAGAAUACCAGCUGAGAUAAGUUAUAUCAGAAAAUGACAAAUGGUAAAACAUUAUUUCUGAAAAUAAAGAAUGAAAAAAGGCUAAAUGGAGUAAAGAAAUUGAUUUGUAAAUUAAAAGUCAGUAUCUAAAAAAAGGAUUGAUACAAUUUCAUAAUGUAUGCAUUGAUGAAAAUACAAUACUGUUAAAUUUUAAAAUAAAGCAAUUAGUUAAAUAAAACAUGUAUAUUUGUAAAUUUAGGUAACAAAUCUAUAAUUAUUUAUUAGGAUUACAAGCAUUUGAUCUGAAUUAUAAAAUAAUUUGAUAAUUUAUUUGUUCUGAAUUUUGCAAAGUUAAGCCUAAAAAAUAAAUCAUUGUUAUCAAAUCUUAAGUCGGUGGUCUCUGUUGUACCAGUUGUACCGGGUUACAGUAUUACUAGAAAUGUAACUAAUACAAUGUUUAAGACCACAGACCACAAUCAAAUUGUGGUCUGUGGUCUGUUCGAAGUUCAAAAAAAGGUGAAUCACAUGUGAAAAAAUGACAUUUCUGACAACUCUGUCAUGUAAUUCCUCCAAAGUUCAACUCAAAAGAAUGAAGUCUUCUGCAAGAAGAAUGUUCAUUGGGAAAUACAUCUGAGGUGCAUGAUGUUUUGUAGUAGUCAUGUAACAUGUUUUUUAUGUGUUUGCUGUCUAAUGUAAUAUUCUGUGACAGAAAUGAGCUUAACCAAUGGUAACUCAUACACUGUAGAGUUAGUAAAUAGUCCUAUAAUUUUUUUGUUUAUAGCAUUUUUUAUAUGGGUCAGCAACAAAAAGUUUUGUGUUUUGUAAAUGUCUAUCAAAUGUGUCUUUAGAAAAAAAAAUUAAGAGAAAAUGAUUAACUUUAAGCGUCUAUAGUUUUAUUUUCAAUUGGUUUAAUAAACUUUUAAAUGAUAUUUUAAUAGAUAACAUUAAAAUGAAUCUGCAAUUUCUUGUUUGUUUGAUGGAAAGUGGAGAGAAUAAACAUAAUGAUUUUGCAAAUGAAUUGCAUAUACCUAAAUCAACUUUUGAAAAGGAUGAAGUCAAUGUUCUUCCACUAGAACCAUUACAUUAUGGUGAUACCAGAUACUAUAGAAAAAAUUCUUUUUAUAUGCACUAUCCAAAAGAAAUUUUUGAAAUUGAAAUGACAGUUUAAGACGAUCAAUUUGUAAAUGAAAAUACUGCUCUCUUUGAAUGUUAUCCUGGUUUUGAUAAAAAUGGAAACUAUUUGUUUAAUAUUCCAAGUUUUUCAUCUGGUAAAUAUGAAAAACAACCAUUUAUGGGUGCACUAUGUCAUCCAGAGAAGAUUACAUCAAAGAGCACUUUAGAUCUGCCAUUAGAUAUUCCAGAGUUAAAAGAAAAAUAUUUUAAUGAAAAAACAAGAGAGAGAAAAAGUUAGGAAAUAAUAUCGCAGAAGGAAUGAAAAAAAUGAAUUUAGGUUUGGGUAGAGGGUGUACGAUGGAGACGAAAAGUAAAGUGUUGCCCGUCGGCCAGCUGAAGGAGGACUCUGACCAUUCGGACACCGAAAAUAACGAAAUAACCGUGGAAGAAAACGAAAGGGAAAUAUUUUCGGCGGAAGAGGAGAAACCGACACGAACGGAAGAAGGCGACGAUGGAGAUCUCAUUCCUCAGUUUACCCUAAACAGUUAUUUGUCUCUGAAAACCGAAAAUUGAAACUAUUCGACUAAUGGCCCUGAUGCCGUGUUAAAUGUUUUCCUCUUCGUCCGUCUGUAAAACCGGCGAAAGGAGGAGGAGGAGACCCGCCGUUUUUUUAAUGGGUAAAAUUUACCGCUUUACUAGCAAGGACCCCUCGCUCGUCGGCGGGAGCAGAUGUUUCCUAUAAAUUAUAAUUUCCGGAGAAACGUACGGUUUCUACGUUUCUCUCUUAUUUUAGGGGAAGACGACAAAUGAAUUUUCUGUUCGUCCGGAAAUCGUCAAAAUAAUUACUUCAGGAACGGUUUCCACCGCUGUUAUUAUUUGUGUCAUUUUUAUUUCCAUUAAUUAAUAAAAGUAUUUUAAAUAAAUUGGUUUUAUUAUGUAAAAUACGGUAUUAAUUAAUAUUAGGAGCGGUUCGGACUCGGUCAUGCCCAAACGGGAGUCGAUUCUACGCAAAAAGAAGCGUUUUAAUUUACGUAAUGAGUGCUAGAGAUGUUUGCCCCCCCUAUAUCGCCAGUAGAUUUAUAAU